UACGAAGGGUGCAAGCGUUGUCCGGAAUCACUGGGCGUAAAGCGCGCGCAGGCGGUCAUCUACGUCUGGGGUGAAAGCCCGGAGCCCAACUCCGGGAUUGCCUUGGAUACGGGAUGACUUGAGGAUCGGAGAGGCAAGGGGAAUUCCACGUGUAGCGGUGAAAUGCGUAGAGAUGUGGAGGAACACCUGUGGCGAAGGCGCCUUGCUGGCCGAUUUCUGACGCUGAGGCGCGAAAGCGUGGGGAGCAAACAGG
rnacentral:rRNA from 1 species